rnacentral:rRNA from 1 species
UACGUAGGGGGCAAGCGUUGUCCGGAUUCAUUGGGCGUAAAGAGCUCGUAGGCGGUUCAGUAAGUCGGGUGUGAAAUCUCCGUGCUCAACACGGAGCGGCCACCUGAUACUGCUGUGACUCGAGUCCGGUAGGGGAGUGUGGAAUUCCCGGUGUAGCGGUGAAAUUCGUAGAUAUCGGGAGGAACACCGGUGGCGAAGGCGGCGAUCUGGGUAGAUACUGACGCUGAGGUGCGAAAGCGUGGGGAGCAAACAGG